rnacentral:rRNA from 1 species
AGAGUUUGAUCCUGGCUCAGAGUGAACGCUGGCGGCGUGCCUAAUACAUGCAAGUCGAACGGAGAUUAAGUAGCUUGCUAUUUAAUCUUAGUGGCGCACGGGUGAGUAAUAUAUAGCUAAUCUGCCCUACACUAGAGGACAGCAGUUGGAAACGACUGCUAAUACUCUAUACUCCUUCUUUACAUAAGUUAAGUCGGGAAAGUUUUUCGGUGUAGGAUGAGGCUAUAUCGUAUCAGCUAGUUGGUAGGGUAACGGCCUACCAAGGCUAUGACGCGUAACUGGUCUGAGAGGAUGAUCAGUCACACUGGAACUGAGACACGGUCCAGACUCCUACGGGAGGCAGCAGUAGGGAAUAUUGCUCAAUGGGGGAAACCCUGAAGCAGCAACGCCGCGUGGAGGAUGACACUUUUCGGAGCGUAAACUCCUUUUCUUGGGAAAGAAUUAUGACGGUACCCAAGGAAUAAGCACCGGCUAACUCCGUGCCAGCAGCCGCGGU